rnacentral:rRNA from 1 species
GAUGAACGCUGGCGGCGUGCCUAACACAUGCAAGUCGAGCGUGAUUUAUGAGGACGAAACUUCGGUCUAGGAAUCAUAAUGAAAGCGGCGGACGGGUGAGUAACGCGUAGGCAACCUGCCCUUGACACAGGGAUAGCCUCGGGAAACCGGGAUUAAAACCUGAUAACGCCAAAGAGUCACAUGGCUCUUGGGCCAAAGAUUUAUCGGUCAAGGAUGGGCCUGCGUCUGAUUAGUUAGUUGGUGGGGUAACGGCCUACCAAGACGACGACCAGUAGCCGACCUGAGAGGGUGAUCGGCCACAUUGGAACGGCGACACGGUCCAAACUCCUACGGGAGGCAGCAGUGGGGAAUAUUGCACAAUGGGCGAAAGCCUGAUGCAGCAACGCCGCGUGAGCGAUGAAGGCCUUUGGGUCGUAAAGCUCUGUCCUUGGGGAAGAAACAAAUGACGGUACCCAAGGAGGGAGCCCCGGCUAACUACGUGCCAGCCGCCGCCGUAAAAC